GCCNCCGUAGAGUUUGGAUCUGGCUCAGGACGAACGCUGGCGGCGUGCCUAAUACAUGCAAGUGGAACGCAUUGAUUUCACCGGAGCUUGCUCCACCGAAAUUAGUGAGUCGCGAACGGGUGAGUAACGCGUAGGUAACCUACCUCUUAGCGGGGGAUAACUAUUGGAAACGAUAGCUAAUACCGCAUAACAAUUGGAUACACAUGUACCCUAUUUAAAAGGAGCAACUGCUUCACUAAGAGAUGGACCUGCGUUGUAUUAGCUAGUUGGUAGGGUAACGGCCUACCAAGGCAUCGAUACAUAGCCGACCUGAGAGGGUGAUCGGCCACACUGGGACUGAGACACGGCCCAGACUCCUACGGGAGGCAGCAGUAGGGAAUCUUCGGCAAUGGGGGGAACCCUGACCGAGCAACGCCGCGUGAGUGAAGAAGGUUUUCGGAUCGUAAAGCUCUGUUGUAAGAGAAGAACGUGUGAGAGAGUGGAAAGUUCUCACAGUGACGGUAACUUACCAGAAAGGGACGGCUAACUACGUGCCAGCAGCCGCGGUAAUACGUAGGUCCCGAGCGUUGUCCGGAUUUAUUGGGCGUAAAGCGAGCGCAGGUGGUUGUAUAAGUCUGAAGUAAAAGGCAGUGGCUUAACCAUUGUGUGCUUUGGAAACUGUACAACUUGAGUGCAGAAGGGGAGAGUGGAAUUCCAUGUGUAGCGGUGAAAUGCGUAGAUAUAUGGAGGAACACCGGUGNGCGAAAGCGGCUCUCNNUGGUCGUAACUGACACUAGCUCGACGCGCC
rnacentral:rRNA from 1 species